GUUCUACUCCCUCCGUUACGAAUUAUUUGUCGCAGAUAUGGAUGUAUCUAGAUGUAUUUUAGUUCUAGAUACAUCUAUUUCUACGACGAGUAAUUUGGAACGGAGGGAGUACUUC
rfam:Triticum urartu cultivar G1812 contig595269, whole genome shotgun sequence.